rnacentral:rRNA from 1 species
UACAGAGGGUGCAAGCGUUGUUCGGAAUUAUUGGGCGUAAAGCGCGUGUAGGCGGCAUGGCAAGUCGGGUGUGAAAGCCCUCAGCUUAACUGAGGAAGUGCGCCCGAAACUGCUUUGCUUGAGUGCCGGAGAGGAUGGCGGAGUUCCCCAAGUAGAGGUGAAAUUCGUAGAUAUGGGGAGGAACACCGGUGGCGAAGGCGGCCAUCUGGACGGUAACUGACGCUGAGACGCGAAAGCGUGGGUAGCAAACAGG